rnacentral:rRNA from 1 species
GUGUCAGCAGCCGCGGUAAUACGGAGGGUGCAAGCGUUGCUCGGAAUUACUGGGCGUAAAGCGUACGCAGGCUGUUCGUUAAGUCGGGUGUGAAAUCCCGGGGCUCAACCCCGGAAUUGCGCCCGAAACUGACGAGCUUGAGUGCGGGAGAGGGAAGCGGAAUUCCUGGUGUAGAGGUGAAAUUCGUAGAUAUCAGGAGGAACACCGGUGGCGAAAGCGGCUUCCUGGCCCGACACUGACGCUCAUGUACGAAAGCGUGGGGAGCAAACAGGAUUAGAAACCCUUGUAGUCC